CCGUAGGUGAACCUGCGGAAGGAUCAUUAAUGAAUACACUGGACGCUCUUUUUAGAGGUCCGACCCUUCAUUACCUUCACACUGUGCACACACUUCAUUUUUACACCCAUUUUUAAACACUUUAGUAUAAGAAUGUACCAGUCUCUUAAUUGAGCAUAAAUAUAUAAUAAAACUUUCAGCAACGGAUCUCUUGGCUCUCGCAUCGAUGAAGAACGCAGCGAAUUGCGAUAAGUAAUGUGAAUUGCAGAAUUCAGUGAAUCAUCGAAUCUUUGAACGCACCUUGCACUCUUUGGUAUUCCGAAGAGUAUGUCUGUUUGAGUGUCAUGAAACUCUCAACCCCCCUGUUUUGUAAUGAGAUAGGCGUGGGCUUGGAUUAUGGCUGUCUGUCGGCGUAAAGUCGGCUCAGCUGAAAUACACGAGCAACCCAUUUGAAAUAGACGGUUUGACUCGGCGUAAUAAUUAUUUCGCUGAGGACGUCUUCUUUAAAGUCAGUGGUGCUUCUAAUGCGUAUCAUACACUUUUAGCUUUAGACCUCAAAUCAGGCAGGACUACCCGCUGAACUUAAGCAUAUCAAUAAGCGGAGGAA
rnacentral:rRNA from 1 species